AGCGAACGCUGGCGGCAGGCUUAACACAUGCAAGUCGAACGCCCGGGCAACCGGGAGUGGCGGACGGGUGAGUAACGCGUGGGAACGUGCCCUUUGGUUCGGAAUAACUCAGGGAAACUUGAGCUAAUACCGGAUAAGCCCUUACGGGGAAAGAUUUAUCGCCGAAGGAUCGGCACGCGUCCGAUUAGCCAGUUGGUGUGGUAAUGGCGCACCAAGGCGACGAUCGGUAGCUGGUCUGAGAGGAUGAUCAGCCACACUGGGACUGAGACACGGCCAAGACUCCUACGGGAUGCAGCAGUGGAGAAUAUUGGACAAUGGGGGCAACCCUGAUCCAGCCAUGCCGCGUGAGUGAUGAAGGCCCUAGGUUUGUAAAGCUCUUUCGGCGGGGACGAUAAUGACGGUACCCGCAGAAGAAGCCCCGGCUAACUUCGUGCCAGCCGCCGCAGUAAUAC
rnacentral:rRNA from 1 species